rnacentral:rRNA from 1 species
UACGGAGGGGGCUAACGUUGUUCGGAAUUACUGGGCGUAAAGCGCACGUAGGCGGCUUUGUAGGUUAGAGGUGAAAGCCCGGGGCUCAACUCCGGAAUUGCCUUUAAGACUGCAUCGCUAGAAUUGUGGAGAGGUAAGUGGAAUUCCGAGUGUAGAGGUGAAAUUCGUAGAUAUUCGGAAGAACACCAGUGGCGAAGGCGACUUACUGGACACAUAUUGACGCUGAGGUGCGAAAGCGUGGGGAGCAAACAGG